rnacentral:lncRNA from 1 species
CAAAAUAUGUAGUCAACUGUAAUUUUCACAAGUUUCUCUCAACUAUUGGAUAAGAAAGCCCACACUUUCGAUUGUAAGUCAUGAGAACUUCUACUCCACUUAGACUUGCUAUGGCUAUUAAACUCCUUAUCUAAAGCCUGCCUCACCUUACUAUCUUUUUUUUUUAUCAUAUAGAGGUCAUUUGUAGUCACCUAAUAAGAAAUUCAUUUGUGAAAGGCCAACCGUUUAGGCUUGGUUGCUAGGAGCUUUGUAUCCGCCUCAUACAAGCUUCUCAAGGUUGCCUUCUACAAAGUCACCUUGGGUUGAAAUCUUUUCAAACCUUUCAUUUGUUGAGAAACUUACACCAUAAUCCUUUCACAUUCACGUCCUCAAGCUUUUCUAAGUCUCAGUCCCUUCACUCUCAUGAUUUGCCCACAUUGUGAAUCUUGGACCUUGUGAAUUUUUUUGAAUAAUUUACACCUAUUUUUGGUGCUUUAUAUAAGAUUUUCUCUGUAACCCUC